GACGAACGCUGGCGGCGUGCCUAACACAUGCAAGUCGAGCGAGGUCCAUUCGGUAGCAAUACCGAUGAAGACCUAGCGGCGAACGGGUGAGUAACACGUGAGAAACCUGCCCCAAAGUCUGGGAUAACCCGGGGAAACCCGAGCUAAUACCGGAUACCUUCUUUGAUCGCAUGGUCAGCUGAAGAAAGUUUUUUUCGCUUUGGGAGGGUCUCGCGGCCUAUCAGUUUGUUGGUGGGGUAACGGCCUACCAAGACAUCGACGGGUAGCUGGUCUGAGAGGACGAUCAGCCACACUGGGACUGAGACACGGCCCAGACUCCUACGGGAGGCAGCAGUGGGGAAUCUUGCGCAAUGGGCGAAAGCCUGACGCAGCAACGCCGCGUGCGGGAUGACGGCCUCGGUU
rnacentral:rRNA from 1 species